UUACAUGCAAAGCAAAUUCCUUUCAACAAGUGAAGAUUGAAGGUACCAUCCAUGGCUACCAGCAAAUUUGGAUUUGUCACUCUCCUCCUCCUAUGCAGCAUUGUUUUUGUGCAUGGAUGUGAAGUGAAGCAUGCAAAUGGCCAAGUAAAAGCUUGCACUCUAGAGUGUGACCCUCGAGCAAAGUUUAUCAUUUGCCCUCGGGAAUCGAAGGCGAUGCAAAUUGGUCAACUUUGUGAAAACUGUUGCACGGCACAAAGUCGUGGGUGCAUGUUGUACAACUUCUUUGGAUAUCCCAUUUGCAAGGAUGAACAAUCUUUCUUCAAUAAGAUUAGACUAUGGUUUAAUUAACUAGAUCCGGUCGGUCCAUGCAUGCAUGCAGCCAAUGAAAAAAUGACACGUAAACGCUGAGUUUGCAGUACUCUAUCUUUGAAUAAUGAGGAGAUUAGGCUUAUGUGUAAGCAAAUAUCAAAUUGGCCUGUUUAAUUUGUUCUAAAAUGUAAGUCAGAAUAAUGAGAUUUGUCUCAUGGUACCAUACUUAUAA